ACAGCCCAUCUUUUUAAUUCAAAUAUUUACUUGCAUUGCUGUCAGGUGGAGAGACUGGGAACACCUUUGCCUACAAAGAAUCAGAGACAAGUAUCAGACAGAUGGCAAUGGAAAGGCACAUGGCAUAUGGGAGCUACUUUUGUUAAAAAGGAAGAAUACUGCCAAGGAACCGAUUCAAGCACAUAUCCAAGUGUCCCAGUUCCUUCAUCUCUGAUAUUAAAUUUGAAUGGAAUUGUAAAAUUUGGAUGAAGAAACUGAGGACUAGAGUCCUGGGUUCCAGUUCCUCUGACUAGCUGUCUGACUUCUAGAGAGUGACUUCAUCUUCCUGGACCCCAGUUUGUCCAUCAUCAAUAUCUGGCUGUUGGAUUCAGAUGAGGUACCUUGGGGUAGUGGAGACAGUACUGGGUUUGAAGAGGAAUUUCAUAGCUCUCUUGUGACCCUCGCUGUAUGACCUUAGGCAAAGUAUUUCAUCUCUAUACCCCUGUUUCCUCUUGGAUAAAAGGGCACUUCCAACUAUAUCUGUGCUCCUA
rnacentral:lncRNA from 1 species